AUAUCAUAACCUAAAUAUAAAUAAUUUAACAACUUAAAUUAGAAAAAUAUAAAAAUCCCGGGCGUAGCCCGGGUUAAUCCCUAGUCUAUAUAUAUAUAAAGAUGUUGGCCUCUCUCCUGAGAGAGCCACGUCAUCAAAUAAUAUUCCCACAAGCUGACACCUGUCCGGGUUAGUAAAACGAUGUGUUUUGUCGUCAGUCGAUUUCUUACGUUUUUGGGCUUGGAAUUGUGAUUGAAGAUAUCAAGCCCAUACUGCGUUAAUAUAUGCUACGCCGUGUUGUUAUUGAUCCACAUGGUUUUCUGAUUAAGGUUAGACUGUGUUGGUAUGUCUCUGCUAUUAACGGCGUAGUUUAGGGUUCCACCAUGAUCGUCGCUUUCUGCCAUUACAGCGACUGGUGUUCAGAAUUGGUGUGAUGAUUCCGUCUGUUGGUUUUGAUCAAGUCCUUUCACCUUCUUUCUACGAACCGAAACGAGAGGCGGUGCUUUCACUGUAUAAAUAGGCAUGCUUGGUGAGUAGGUGGGGCAUCAUCUCCAGACAAUAUUCACACCUAAGAAUUGUUACAUCGCUCUUGGUCCUCUUCUUUGCACUGUCGUGUGUCUUUCCGUACGGCUCGGCGGAGAUGGUACGACGACUGCAAGGAACAUGCUUUGCGAUGUAAUUGUUUCUCCUUUAUUUAGUUCAUAGUGAUUGAGACUAAUUUUUACGAAGAUUUGGUCAGAUCUGAUCUCAGAUUUAUCAUGGCAAUCAACAAUUCCAACUUAGCUCAACUUUUGAUGAACAGGUUUUAAGAAAUUUUAUUCAUUUUUUUUUGUUUGGAAGAAACAAUGUAUCCGUAGGUGCUUCAGCCAAACGCUAUCCCGCCGGCGGAGAUUUGAGAAGCUCCGUUUCGAUGGUAAAAAAAGAUUGACUGUUGCCGUUUCUCCAAAACCACGUCGUAUUGGUUUCAGUGAUCCUGCAGUCUAUGAACAGCUCCACAAUCCCUCUCGGUUUCUGCUAUUAGGUUAGGUGAAAAGAUCUUUACCAAUUUCAUAGAUUUCACUAUCCUGAAAAUUCGUUUAUUUAAUUCUUUGUUUGCAGCCAUCAUCAAGGGGAUGUCCUAUUUGCAUCAGAGGCCUAGACUGAUAUCUUUGAUAUCGUAAUAUGGCUGAGAAAUACCAUAUUUUGUUGGUGAAAGGUAAUUCUAAGUGGUAGAUGGAAUCGGUAAUGUUCUUUUGAUAUAUUCAGCAGUGUGUAUAGAAAAGAAAGAUUACAGUACAGCUUGAGGGUUGUUGUAUUUUCUCUGCGUGAAUUUGCUUAGUAGGGAAGAAGAUAAAGUGGGGAAAGAGCUUGACCCAAUGUUAGUCUGACUUCCUAAAAUUUACCUGAUAAUAGAGCGAGAGAUUGGUGAAGAGAGAGACCAAGACGAAGUGAAGAACAUCGAGAGUGCAAGAGCAUUGCUUUAGCCUGUGUGGAUGUACCAUGUCUAUGAAACUGGAAGGUUUCACAUGGAGGAGUAAGAAUAUAUAGGAUGGGAAAAAGAUGGUUUGGAGUUGUGGUGUGUUGAUAUAAUAUAUUUGAGAUGAGACUAUUAGAUUUUGUAAUGUUAGGAUUCAUUGUCAAAUCAUGGGAAAUACAUUGACUUACCAGUUUUAAUGCAUUCUUUUUCAGUCUU